UACGGAGGGUGCAAACGUUGCUCGGAAUCAUUGGGCGUAAAGCGCACGUAGGCGGCCUGUUAAGUCGGGUGUGAAAUCCCUCGGCUCAACCGAGGAAGUGCAUUCGAAACUGGCAGGCUUGGAUGUGGAAGAGGGUCGUGGAAUUCCCGGUGUAGAGGUGAAAUUCGUAGAUAUCGGGAGGAACACCAGUGGCGAAGGCGGCGACCUGGGCCAACAUUGACGCUGAGGUGCGAAAGCGUGGGGAGCAAACAGG
rnacentral:rRNA from 1 species